rnacentral:rRNA from 1 species
GGCUCAGGAUGAACGCUGGCGGCGUGCCUAAUACAUGCAAGUCGAACGAAUCGGAUGGGAGCUUGCUCCUGAUGAUUAGUGGCGAACGGGUGAGUAACACGCAGGCAACCUGCCUCUGCGAUGGGGAUAACCGAGGGAAACUUUGGCUAAUACCGAAUGUGUGCUUCUUAGGGCAUCCUAAGGAGAGAAAAGAUUUAUCGCGCAGAGAUGGGCCUACGGUGUAUUAGCUAGUUGGUGAGAUAACAGCCCACCAAGGCAAUGAUACAUAGCCGACCUGAGAGGGUGAUCGGCCACAUUGGAACUGAGACACGGUCCAAACUCCUACGGGAGGCAGCAGUAAGGAAUUUUCGGCAAUGGGCGAAAGCCUGACCGAGCAACGCCGCGUGAGUGAUGAAGGUCUUCGGAUUGUAAAGCUCUGUUAUGAGGGAAGAAAAGGUAUAUUUAUAUACGUAUUGACGGUACCUCAUGAGAAAGCCAUGGCUAACUACGUGCCAGCCGCCGC